rnacentral:lncRNA from 1 species
GGACGAUUCCGGACUGCUUUGGACUGUAAAACAAUACAGUAUAAUAAAUUCCUGUGAUCAGGACCAAACUAAAAAUUUCUAUCUACCCAAACCCAAUGGAGAAACCGAAAAGAAAAACUCUUCAUGACCAUACGCUAUGUUGUCAAUUUACUAUUCGCGUUGAAUUCUUCCUUCAAUAAUGCCAUUUAUGUGGAUUUUUAAUGGUUGGGUUUGAUUAGGAAUAUAAAUAUAAAAAUCUACCUAAAAGCAAUCACCCUGAAAACAUGGCUAUUACUAAACUCACUACCGUA